rnacentral:rRNA from 1 species
UACAGAGGGGGCAAGCGUUGUUCGGAAUUACUGGGCGUAAAGGGCGCGUAGGCGGCCUGCUAAGUCGAACGUGAAAUCCCCGGGCUCAACCCGGGAACUGCGUCCGAUACUGGUUGGCUAGAGUCCGGGAGAGGAGAGUGGAAUUCCUGGUGUAGCGGUGAAAUGCGCAGAUAUCAGGAAGAACACCCGUGGCGAAAGCGGCUCUCUGGAACGGUACUGACGCUGAGACGCGAAAGCGUGGGGAGCGAACAGG